rnacentral:lncRNA from 1 species
UAAAUUUUGGGGUAUUACAAUUAGGUAAUAUUCCUCUCCUGUUGGAAUCAUGGUUUUCCCCUUUUUGAUGAUUGCUUUUCCCCGACGAAGUCUUACUUUGUUAAGUCUUACCUGGUGGGUCUUUAGUUCAUUUUUAACCAUGCAUCGAUUAUUUUCGAGCUUUUCCUUUUCCCCCUUUAGAAUUUUGUAUGUCCCUAUCUGGGUACCCCCUUUGGAAUCU